AAAAGAAACCAACGGAUUGCCUUAGUAGCGGCGAGUGAAGCGGCAAAAGCUCAAAUUUGAAAUCUGGCACUUUCAGUGUCCGAGUUGUAAUUUGAAGAAGGUAUCUUUGGGUCUGGCUCUUGUCUAUGUUUCUUGGAACAGAACGUCACAGAGGGUGAGAAUCCCGUGCGAUGAGAUGUCCCAGACCUAUGUAAAGUUCCUUCGAAGAGUCGAGUUGUUUGGGAAUGCAGCUCUAAGUGGGUGGUAAAUUCCAUCUAAAGCUAAAUAUUGGCGAGAGACCGAUAGCGAACAAGUACAGUGAUGGAAAGAUGAAAAGAACUUUGAAAAGAGAGUGAAAAAGUACGUGAAAUUGUUGAAAGGGAAGGGCUUGAGAUCAGACUUGGUAUUUUGUAUGUUACUCUCUCGGGGGUGGCCUCUACAGUUUACCGGGCCAGCAUCAGUUUGAGCGGUAGGAUAAGUGCAAAGAAAUGUGGCACUGCUUCGGUAGUGUGUUAUAGUCUUUGUCGAUACUGCCAGCUUAGACUGAGGACUGCGGCUUCGGCCUAGGAUGUUGGCAUAAUGAUCUUAAGUCGCCCG
rnacentral:rRNA from 1 species